GAAGGCAUCUUUCUAUUUUUAAAAGACCUAGCAAUAGGUAUGCUUAGGGAAGAGCUUGCGUCACAUUAGUUAGUUGGUGGGGUAAUGGCCUACCAAGACGAUGAUGUGUAGCCGGGCUGAGAGGUCGAACGGCCACAUUGGGACUGAGACACGGCCCAAACUCCUACGGGAGGCAGCAGUAAGGAAUUUUCGGCAAUGGAGGAAACUCUGACCGAGCAAUGCCGCGUGAACGAUGAAGUAUUUCGGUACGUAAAGUUCUUUUAUUAGGGAAGAAAAGAUGGUGGAAAAACCAUUAUGACGGUACCUAAUGAAUAAGCCCCGGCUAACUAUGUGCCAGCAGCCGCGGUAAUACAUAGGGGGCAAGCGUUAUCCGGAAUUAUUGGGCGUAAAGGGUGCGUAGGCGGUUAAAUAAGUUUAUGGUCUAAGUGCAACGCUCAACGUUGUGAUGCUAUAAAAACUGUUUAGCUAGAGUUGGAUAGAGGCAAGUGGAAUUCCGUGUGUAGUGGUAAAAUGCGUAAAUAUACGGAGGAACACCAGAAGCGAAGGCGGCUUGCUGGGUCUUAACUGACGCUGAGGCACGAAAGCGUGGGGAGCAAACAGGAUUAGAUACCCUGGUAGUCCACGCCCUAAACGAUGAGUACUAAACGUUGGAUAAAACCAGUGUUGAAGUUAACACAUUAAGUACUCCGCCUGAGUAGUACGUACGCAAGUAUGAAACUUAAAGGAAUUGACGGGACUCCGCACAAGCGGUGGAUCAUGUUGUUUAAUUCGAAGGUACCCGAAAAACCUCACCAGGUCUUGACAUGCUUUUGCAAAGCUGUAGAAAUACAGUGGAGGUUAUCAGAAGCACAGGUGGUGCAUGGUUGUCGUCAGCUCGUGUCGUGAGAUGUUGGGUUAAGUCCCGCAACGAGCGCAACCCUUGUUGUUAAUUGCCAUCAUUAAGUUGGGGACUUUAGCAAGACUGCCAAUGAUAAAUUGGAGGAAGGUGGGGACGACGUCAAAUCAUCAUGCCCCUUAUGACCUGGGCUACAAACGUGAUACAAUGGCUGUUACAAAGGGUAGCUAAAGCGUAAGCUUCUGGCGAAUCUCAAAAAAGCAGUCUCAGUUCGGAUUGAAGUCUGCAACUCGACUUCAUGAAGUUGGAAUCGCUAGUAAUCGCGAAUCAGCA
rnacentral:rRNA from 1 species